rnacentral:misc_RNA from 1 species
UCCUGCUUAACGCAGGCAGUCUCUUUAGAGUGCCCAACUUAAUGCUGGCAACUAAAAAUAGGGGUUGCGCUCGUUGCGGGACUUAACCCAAUAUUUCACAACACGAGCUGACGACAGCCAUGCAGCACCUGUCUCCAAGAGGAUAUGUUUCCAUAUCCUAAGACACCAUCUCUGGUGCUUUUCUUGGGAUGUCAAGUCCAGGUAAGGUUCUGCGCGUUGCUUCGAAUUAAACCACAUAAUCCACCGCUUGUGCGGGUCCCCGUCAAUUCCUUUGAGUUUUAGUCUUGCGACCGUACUCCCCAGGCGGACAACUUAACGCGUUAGCUACGACACGGAAAUUGUCAACCAAUUCCCACGUCUAGUUGUCAUCGUUUAAGGCAUGGACUAC